CCUCUAUAUACAUAUGCUGUGAGAAUCUUAUCAUUCUCUUGGAUCAUCUCUAUAGACCUUUAUACCAAGAAUGUAGGAAGCUUCUUCUAGAUCUUUCAUGACAAACUCUUUCGACAACCAUACUUUGAUCGAUGUCAGCAUAAGAAUAUCAUUCUCAAUCAGGAAGGAUGUCAUCCACAUACAAUACGAAAAAUGUGACAGCACUCCCACUGACCUUUUUGUAC
rnacentral:lncRNA from 1 species